CUCGGAAGGAGGCAGUAGAGAGGGGAGUGGCAGCUCCAUUUCUAGAAAGUUAAUUUCCUAACUUCUAAAAAGCUGCUUUCUACAAAGCUGGAAUAUCAGCGGUGUCAUGAGGUGGAACUGGAAGUCGCUUGCAAGGUACCAAGUCCAGCCAUUGCACUGGGGAAAAAGAGAAGUGACUGGGACUCCUACCGGCCAGGAGAUGAGAGAUGGAGAGAGAGAGAGAGCUCAGCUGCUCUUCCAGAGGACCCAGCUCCAAUUCCCAGCACCCACAUGGCAACGUACUAUCUGUAACUCCAGUUCCAGAGGAUCCGAUGUCCUCUUCCGGCCUUUUCAGCUCCUGCCGCCUGGGCUUGUCCU
rnacentral:lncRNA from 1 species